rnacentral:lncRNA from 1 species
AAGUAUCCAAAAAUUAUAAACUCUACAUGAAAAUCACCAUCAAUAAGUCCAGAACAAGCACAAAAAUUUUCAUUCAUUUCUUUAAAGGUAUGAGCAUUUCAUGAAGGUUUUGGCAAAACAUACAAAAAUGUGACACAUUCCACAAACCCUAGGCCAAUUAUUUUUCUACACAUGCAAAAAAUCCACAAAAAUAACCAUUAAAUUCUACACAUUACAAGAAGAACAAUUCAAAAAGUCUCACUCAAAUUGGAUGGAAAAUGAAGCCUAUAGGAAUUUUUGAAGUUCUU